rnacentral:tRNA from 1 species
UAGCUCAAUUGGUAGAGUGUUUGCCUCGCAUGCACAAGGCCCUGGGUUCAAUCCCCAG